AGUGAACGCUGGCGGUAGGCCUAACACAUGCAAUUCGAACGGCAGCACAGUAAGAGCUUGCUCUUACGGGUGGCGAGUGGCGGACGGGUGAGGAAUACAUCGGAAUCUACUUUUUCGUGGGGGAUAACGUAGGGAAACUUACGCUAAUACCGCAUACGACCUACGGGUGAAAGCAGGGGAUCUUCGGACCUUGCGCGAUUGAAUGAGCCGAUGUCGGAUUAGCUAGUUGGCGGGGUAAAGGCCCACCAAGGCGACGAUCCGUAGCUGGUCUGAGAGGAUGAUCAGCCACACUGGAACUGAGACACGGUCCAGACUCCUACGGGAGGCAGCAGUGGGGAAUAUUGGACAAUGGGCGCAAGCCUGAUCCAGCCAUACCGCGUGGGUGAAGAAGGCCUUCGGGUUGUAAAGCCCUUUUGCUGGGAAAGAAAAGCAGCAGGUUAAUACCCCGCUGUUCUGACGGUACCCAAAGAAUAAGCACCGGCUAACUUCGUG
rnacentral:rRNA from 1 species